rnacentral:rRNA from 1 species
GAUGAACGCUGGCGGCGUGCCUAAUACAUGCAAGUCGAGCGAACAGACGAGGAGCUUGCUCCUCUGACGUUAGCGGCGGGCGGGUGAGUAACACGUGGAUAACCUACCUAUAAGACUGGGAUAACUUCGGGAAACCGGAGCUAAUACCGGAUAAUAUAUUGAACCGCAUGGUUCAAUAGUGAAAGACGGUUUUGCUGUCACUUAUAGAUGGAUCCGCGCCGCAUUAGCUAGUUGGUAAGGUAACGGCUUACCAAGGCAACGAUGCGUAGCCGACCUGAGAGGGUGAUCGGCCACACUGGAACUGAGACACGGUCCAGACUCCUACGGGAGGCAGCAGUAGGGAAUCUUCCGCAAUGGGCGAAAGCCUGACGGAGCAACGCCGCGUGAGUGAUGAAGGUCUUCGGAUCGUAAAACUCUGUUAUUAGGGAAGAACAAAAGUGUAAGUAACUAUGCACGUCUUGACGGUACCUAAUCAGAAAGCCACGGCUAACUACGUG